ACCCCGUAGCUAGCCCAACCCCCUAAAAUCAAUUAACCACCCUUAAUAACCCCAAAUUGCACUAGACCCGCAAAACAAACCAUUUUUCCCUCUCAGUAUAGGAGAUAGAAAAGAGACUCGGAGCGAUAGAGAAAGUACCGCAAGGGAAGGCUGAAAGAGAAAUGAAACAACCACACAAGUACAGAAAAGCAGAGACUAAACCUCGUACCUUU
rnacentral:rRNA from 1 species